rnacentral:rRNA from 1 species
UACGGAGGAUGCAAGCGUUAUCCGGAAUGAUUGGGCGUAAAGCGUCCGCAGGUGGCUAUGUAAGUCUGCUGUUAAAGAGUGAGGCUCAACCUCAUAAGAGCAGUGGAAACUACAUGGCUAGAGUGCGUUCGGGGCAGAGGGAAUUCCUGGUGUAGCGGUGAAAUGCGUAGAUAUCAGGAAGAACACCGGUGGCGAAAGCGCUCUGCUAGGCCGCAACUGACACUGAGGGACGAAAGCGUGGGGAUCAAACAGG